GCCUGGGUGGCUCAGUGGUUGAGCAUCUGCCUUUGGCUCAGGGCAUGAUCCUGGGGUCCUGGGAUCAAGUCCCACAUCAGGCU
rnacentral:tRNA from 1 species